CCUACGGGUGGCAGCAGUGGGGAAUCUUCCGCAAUGGGCGAAAGCCUGACGGAGCAACGCCGCGUGAUCGAAUGAAGGCCUUCGGGUUGUAAAGAUCUGUUGACAGGGACGAAUAAGCAAUGCGAAUAGUUUUGUGUAUGACGGUACCUGUUUAGAAAGCUCCGGCUAACUACGUGCCAGCAGCCGCGGUCAUACGUAGGAUCCGAGCAUUAUCCGGAGUGACUGGGUGUAAAGAGUUGCGUAGGUGGCAUAAUAAGUAGCUAGUGAAAUCUGGUGGCUCAACCAUUCAGACUAUUAGCUAAACUGUUAAGCUCGAGACCGUUAGGGGUAACUGGAAUUUCUAGUGUAGGAGUGAAAUCCGUAGAUAUUAGAAGGAACACCAAUAGCGUAGGCAGGUUGCUGGGACGGUUCUGACACUAAGGCACGAAAGCGUAGGGAGCAAACGGGAUUAGAUACCCGUGUAGUC
rnacentral:rRNA from 1 species